UGGGGUAUAUUGCACAAUGGGCGAAAGCCUGAUGCAGCGACGCCGCGUGGGGGAUGAAGGCUUUCGGGUUGUAAACCUCUUUCGCUAUCGAACAAGGCCCGCUUAGGGUGGGUUGAGGGUAGGUGGAGAAGAAGCGCCGGCUAACUACGUGCCAGCAGCCCCGGUAAUACGUAUGGCGCGAGCGUUUCCCGGAAUUAUUGGGCGUAAAGGGCUUGUAGGCGGCUUGUUGCGCCUGCUGUGAAAACGCGGGGCUUAACUGCGCGCGUGCAGUGGGUACGGGCAGGCUUGAGUGUAGUAGGGGUGACUGGAAUUCCAGGUGUAGCGGUGGAAUGCGAAGAUAUCUGGAGGAACACCGAUGGCGAAGGCAGGUCACUGGGCCAUUACUGACGCUGAGGAGCGAAAGCAUGGGUAGCGAACAGG
rnacentral:rRNA from 1 species